AACGAACGCUGGCGGCAUGCCUAACACAUGCAAGUCGAACGAGACCUUCGGGUCUAGUGGCGCACGGGUGCGUAACGCGUGGGAACCUGCCUCUAGGUUCGGAAUAACUCAGAGAAAUUUGAGCUAAUACCGGAUGAUGUCUUCGGACCAAAGAUUUAUCGCCUUUAGAUGGGCCCGCGUUGGAUUAGCUAGUUGGUGGGGUAAAGGCCUACCAAGGCGACGAUCCAUAGCUGGUCUGAGAGGAUGAUCAGCCACACUGGGACUGAGACACGGCCCAGACUCCUACGGGAGGCAGCAGUGGGGAAUAUUGGACAAUGGGCGAAAGCCUGAUCCAGCAAUGCCGCGUGAGUGAUGAAGGCCUUAGGGUUGUAAAGCUCUUUUACCCGAGAUGAUAAUGACAGUAUCGGGAGAAUAAGCUCCGGCUAACUCCGUG
rnacentral:rRNA from 1 species